rnacentral:miRNA from 1 species
UGUGUCACAUCCAGCCAAC